UGCUUGCAAGAAGAAAUUUUAUUACUUUAUCUGAAUUCUGGGUCUCUGUGUAUUUCUUUCUGAGAUUUCUACAACACUAGGAAUGGCCUCUUGGCCAUGGGAACGAGCUUAGAUUUUAUUGCAGCUGUACAGGUAAGAGAUGACCCGAACUAGGAUGAGGACAAGAGAAAGGCACAGGCAUGAACAGCUGGACCACAGCUGGAUCUGAAAGCCCUUCAGAUUACCAAGGAAACACAGGACGGUUGCAUGCAUCCCUCCUCUUCAGCCCUGCCUACCAUUCAGGGCACAUUGCUGGGGAAAUGUUCUCAUUGUGGAAAGAAAUCUCUACAAGCAGCCGAUGAAACAGUAAAGUGCCACUGCUGUGCCUGAGUGGAGUUAUCAUCCAUGGGGAGCACCAGCUCAUAAGGUGUACAAUGCUGAGUGUGUUUUCCUGGAUUGUGGUGCUGAGAGGCAAUUUGUUCAUCAUCUGGGGAGAUAAGCAUUCAACAUCAUUGUCCUUCCUCCUCCAAAGGAACCCUUUGUUUUCAUGUUAGUUUUGCUCUUCCUCACGCCAGCCAUUCCAUCUCCUUCAAGUGCAAGAGGACCUUGUGGGAAGAACCUCAGGGAAUGUUGCUCAGUCCAGCCUGGGAAAUGAAGGCAGGCAGCAUGACUAGAGGCAUCCUGCAGAGCUGCCCUAAGCCAGGGAGGCAUUACUCUGUGCCAUUUGAUCUUGUUUCUCUCAUUGUUUUUCUGCCUUUCUAUGGUGCAGCCUUCUUGGUUCCCCAGUUCUCAGGGUGGAACAUGAUCACUGCUACCAGCUUUCAAAUUUACAUGCUGCAGACUAGACACUAGCCAGAAUCUGACCUCUUUCUCCAUCCAAACACAGUGUUCUUCCUGGGCCCAGUUCCUGGAAAGCAGGAGUGGGCUGUACUAUCACAUGCAGCUUCUGCUGCAAACCUCUGAGUGGGGUGAGGGACGGUCAGUUGCCAGAAAAGUGUAGUACACAGAUGAUCCAACAGGUGUUUGUGGCAUUGAUUCAGCUCCACAGAUUCACUCCACAAAUGGAUGACAAGCUCAGAGACUCCUUCUUUGUUGGAACUCACCUUCUAACAAUGAGAUCUGAAAAUAAGUAUUAAUGAAAAAGGGAUUACGGAAGACAGAGAACAUGUAUUUCUAAUUAUGUAGAGCUGCAGUCAGACAUAGGUCCCAAACACUUGUUACUUAUUCUUAGAACUUGUGCUGCCGAAUUAUCUUGAGGAUGCCAACCCUUCCCCCCAAACCUGGUUCCCUUUUCCCUCUUCAGAUUUGUUCCUCUAUAGGCAAUGUCUACCAUGGAUCUGGGGCCUCUACCCUCACUGUUGGAGCUGCUGACCCUCAAAAACAUUGUUCAUAUAUAUUUUACAGAUAUGGAAUUGAGGCUCAGAGAGGCUGAACAAUUUGCUGAAAUCAAACAGAGGAUUGAGAACUGGCAUUCACAUUUUUAUAUCUCUAAAAUAUUAUUUCAUCACAUCACACUGUUCCAUCCAUGUAGAAACACAUCUCAAGACCAAGUUGUUAGUAAGGAGAAGACAGAGGGAGAGUGAUAAAAACAAUGGGCCUGCAAUGAGAAAAGUAGAGACACAUGGAUGGACCAGUGUCUCGCCCACAGCCCAGAUGUGCUGGGCAGUGGAUUGAGUUACCAAGGCUGAAGGACAUGCCCAGAGAUGGCUUGUGAGAGAUAAGGUUUAUUAAGAGAUUAACACAAAAGGAUAGUGUUCAUUGAGACUGACUAGCAGAAAAGGAUAGUCUGGUGGUGGUAAACUGGUCAGGACAGUUACCAGAAGGCCCAGGGAUAGUGGGUCAGAAAGGGAAUUCUCUUGAGCAAAUUUGAAGUAUUGUGGAAUUGCUGGACUACAACACUGCAUGACAUUUUUCCAUACUCAGUUAUUACAGGGAGAGGGUUUUAUAGAUUAAACUACAUAACAGUGAGAUCAUUUGUUGCUUUAUUCUCUUGUAUGUCUAGCAUUCUGAGGAGCUUAGCAUGUGGGCAGGAUGCAGUUUCUACAGAUGACACUAGUUGUCCCAAUUCUCAAUGCCCUCAGGCAAUUCUUAUCUGGACAUUCUGGUCCCUGCCACUUACAAUGUCCCCUUGACUUGGCAAGAGUCUUAGGAACACAAAAGGGUGCUAAAUGCCCUAGUUUUUCUCAGGGAUGAUAUACUCCACCUGCCAUGUGCUUGAAUGCCCUUAUGAUCUUAUCACACUUGUUUUUUGCAAUGUCCCUCAAGCAGCACAUCAAGAUGUACAGUGCAACCAAAUCCCACGGUGACAGUACGGAGAGAAACAAAUCAUAGUAAUCCCAAUUAUACAAGCAUACAAACUGGAUGAAACUUUCCCUCAAGUAGCAGGAAGAAAUUGCUACUAAUUGGAAAUAAGAUCAAACCUGUUUAUCUAUAGCGGUAAUGUGAGUUUGUAAUGUAUACAAAUUAGAGACAUAUUAUGAAUAUUUAUAAAUAUAUAUAAUUUUAUUUUGCAAGUGCCCAGUUACCUCCUUGUGUUGCUGUGAGCUGCCCUAGACCAUCAAAUACAAUAUGCCUUAGCAAAGGCUUAGUCAUAUUUAUUUGUUUCUAUACAAAGUGAAGGAUAUAUAUUUGGUGUCAUCAAAAGAAGGUGAAUUUGAGUUCAAGCUCAUAGAGCAAUUGUCCAGCUGUGUGUGUGAGCAGAGGAUAUUACUCCAGCUUCACAUUUCUGUCUGUUGCAUCAGUGCAGCUGGUUGUAUAUGUCAUGGGAGGACAGUAGAGGAGGACAAAGACAGCUCACUGUAUACUCAAAAUCAAUUUUAGUUUUCCAGGAUUAUCAUCAUACACCAAGCUUUUUGUUGUCUUUGGUCUAUAAGAUUGUUUUCAAUGUGAAUAUUUUGAGAUCUGUAUUCUCCAUUGGUAGUUCUGUGGGAUAAGGCUCAAAUUGGCUCAGGAUGAACUUAGGAUAUUCCUUGUGAUAAUUAUUAUCAGGCACUCAGGCAGAAGAAUCCUUCCUUUAUAACCUCCUGGCUUUCAUUUUUGGGAGGACUGACACAAGGGACAACUCUUGUUCUUUCCUUAUACCUCUUCUUGUCUGAGAGUCUUUCAGAAGGCAUUGCUGAGAAAUCAUCCAGUAGUUAUGUUCUUCAUUUGUUCCUCAUUUCUGGAUUGUUGUUCUGUUGUUGGUCUUAUCUGGUCCCAUAUUAGAGAGGAAGUGACUGACAGUUGAGAGUUGGUGCCACAACCUUUUUACUCACAUUUAAGCAACAGAGGUAGAAGGAGUAGCUCUUAGGCUAAGCUCAGCUAGAGUCCAUUGUUAAGUUAAUUUUAUCUGUUCUUGUGAUGGCUAAUAACUCCAAACAUUGAAUCAGAUUUCUUUGUUAGGAAUUAUACUUCUAUAGGAUGUUUAAAUGAUAACAGUCACCAAGUUUUCAAGGAAAAUAUAGAGCAAAACUAACAAGAGCAAGACAAAUUCAGUUUGUAUAACAGUUUUGAACC